UUACAGGGAACCAGAUUUUGACCAGUGAGAGAGGGGAAACAUCCCCAUGGUAUAAGCAAGAUUCUCAAGAUUUUUCAACAGAAGAUAAAGGAAAAGAGAUGGUGGGAAGCUGCUUCACACUGGGAAGGCUGGCUGUGGGCACCUCUUGGCCUGCAACUCUGGUACUGGCUGCUGCUGGGCACAGCGGGUGUCUGGAGAGGACCUGGUGUAGGAACGAGGAGCACAUCCUGCUGCAUUUCCAUGGAAAUCUCUCUGAAGCUGAACCUAAUUUGGAAGAUGUUCCCUUAGCAUCCAAAAGUCUUCUAAUAAAUGAGGACCUGUCCCUUGUGUCAAAUGCUGCAUAAACUCAGAAAGAACAGCACGUCCUGCCCCACCAAGACUUGCAGACAAUGAGUUUUGUUCUUUCAAAUCUAACUAAAGGAAGCAGUGGCUGCAGUGCUAUUUGUACACUCCUCACCAUCAGCUGAACAGUAAAAGAACAGAAACGGACAGAAUAACCAUUGUGUGGUGACUGGGCAAGUAUCUGCUAAAAAAUGGAUAUUGUUCUGUGAAGACAUGUGUG